GAUGAAGAACGCAGCGAAAUGCGAUAAGUAAUGUGAAUUGCAGAAUUCAGUGAAUCAUCGAAUCUUUGAACGCACAUUGCGCCCGCUAGUAUUCUGGCGGGCAUGCCUGUCCGAGCGUCAUUUCAACCCUCAAGCCCCCGGGCUUGGUGUUGGGGAUCGGCGAGCCUCCGCGCCCGCCGUCCCCUAAAUCUAGUGGCGGUCUCGCUGUAGCUUCCCCUGCGUAGUAGCACACCUCGCACUGGGAAACAGCGCGGCCACGCCGUUAAACCCCCAACUUCUGAACGUUUGACCUCGGAUCAGGUAGGAAUACCCGCUGAACUUAAGCAUAUCAAUAAGCGGAGGA
rnacentral:misc_RNA from 1 species